AUUGAACGCUGGCGGCAUGCUUUACACAUGCAAGUCGAACGGUAACAGGCCGCAAGGUGCUGACGAGUGGCGAACGGGUGAGUAAUGCAUCGGAACGUGCCCAGUCGUGGGGGAUAACGCAGCGAAAGCUGCGCUAAUACCGCAUACGAUCUCUGGAUGAAAGCGGGGGACCGAAAGGCCUCGCGCGAUUGGAGCGGCCGAUGUCAGAUUAGGUAGUUGGUGGGGUAAAGGCCCACCAAGCCAACGAUCUGUAGCUGGUCUGAGAGGACGACCAGCCACACGGGGAUGGAGACACGGCCCAGACUCCUACGGGAGGCAGCAGUGGGGAAUUUUGGACAAUGGGCGCAAGCCUGAUCCAGCAAUGCCGCGUGCAGGAAGAAGGCCUUCGGGUUGUAAACUGCUUUUGUACGGAACGAAACGGUCCGGGUUAAUACCCUGGGCUAAUGACGGUACCGUAAGAAUAAGCACCGGCUAACUACGUGCCAGCCGCCGCCGUAACAC
rnacentral:rRNA from 1 species